rnacentral:piRNA from 2 species
UUUUAACACAUGGGCCUUUGCAGGAUA